UUGAGACGCCAUUAUGUUUACAGUAUAGGCGACCCACCCGAUACAGACUUUGUUUUUUUUUUCUGCCGACGCGAGAAAUAAGUGUUGUAUAAAUGUAUGUUGAGAUAUGGUUGAGAUGGUAGGUGGUUGCUGCGUAUGUUCUGACGAGCAGGGAUGGAAUGAGAAUCCGUUGGUUUACUGUGACGGUCAGGGGUGCAACGUAGCGGUGCAUCAAGCUUGUUACGGAAUUGUAACUGUUCCUAUCGGUCCCUGGUUUUGUCGAAAAUGUGAAUCUCAGGAACGCGCGGCGCGUGUCAAGUGUGAGCUCUGUCCCAGCAAGGAUGGAGCGCUCAAACGCACCGACACCAACAACUGGGCACACGUGGUGUGCGCCCUGUACAUCCCUGAGGUUAGGUUUGGAAAUGUUGCAACCAUGGAACCCAUCAUUCUCUCUCUUGUACCUGCAGAGCGCUUUAACAAAUUGUGCUACCUGUGUGAGCAGAGUGGGAAGGAGUCUAAGGCCUCCUCUGGGGCCUGCAUGCAGUGCAAUAAAAGCGGGUGUAAAGAAGCGUUUCAUGUCACCUGUGCCCAGGCUCAUGGACUGCUGUGUGAAGAGGCCGGGAACUACAUGGACAAUGUUAAAUACUGUGGAUAUUGUGAAUAUCAUUACCAACGAAUAAACAAAAAAAUUGUAAAAACAAUUCCGGCUUUUCGGCCGGUUCCUAGCCAGGAGCUCUCUCCAACCUCAAGUCCGGAGAAACCCUCUCCACCCAACCAUGUUGCAAAGGAUUCCUCCAAACAUCUUCAAUCCUCGUCCUCCUCCUCCUCAUCCUCGUCGUCCUCUAAGAACAAGGGGAAGCGAGGACGGAAACCCGGCUCAAUGCUCUACGAUGCCAAACUAGAACCGCCAAAAUUCAACCCAGAUCUUGCAAGUCUCAACUCGGGAAACAAUGGGAUAGUUCCCUCCGGGUCUUCUGUUACCCUGACUCCAGUCUCAAGUUUUUCCAGUACAACAAGUGAAAAAAGUUUUUCUGCCACAAACAAUGAUUCCUCGAAAACGGAACGCUUUUUUAACAGUGAUCAUAAGUCCAAAGAGGACAAAAAGACGCCAAAUGUUGUUGUUAAAAUUGGUAAACACGGAGAAACCUAUCAUGCAAAGAAGGAGGAGAUAGAAAAGGAUAUUCCCAAGGAGAAAGAUCCCCCUGCCGACUCAAGUGUAGAGAAAGUACCUAAUAGUCAUUCUAAACCUGAUUCCAUGGAGAUAGAUAAACGAAGUGUUGGUGAAACCAAGGAUGAUCAAGGAGAAAAGAAAGGUUUCACCAACGCUAACUUUGUCGAGAGCUACGUGACGCAGAGCGUCAGCGUAACCGCGGCCCUUAUUAAGUCUGAUAAGGAGCAGUCGCCUCCUCGCAAAAUAAAUUUGGACUUUUCGUCUAUAAAGGUCGAGGCUAUGGAUGUAGACAGCACUGUGUCUCUAACUAGCAGUAUAAGCUCGACAAAUUCCACGGGUAAAAGUCGAACCUCGAGUAAAGACUCCGGGGUCGUGUUGGAGACUGUUCCUAGUAGUAAACCCUACCCAGAUACCGCAAACUCCUUAAGUGAAAGUGUACCUCAGUCUAAAACUAACCAUAAAGACCUAUUAAGUUCAACCUAUAUGUUUGACAGUGGUAACCCAGUGAAACCCAGUUCAUCCAGUCUUUAUUCAAGAAGUAGUCUUAGCAGUAGUGUCAGUCUUUUCCCCACCAACAGUACUUCCAGUCAUAAACCUAUCACGGAGCAAGUUUCCUUGAAUAGUGUCUCAAUAACCCCCGCAAUUCCCUCCACUAUCUCCUCCUCCUCCUCUGCCACCCUGAGCAAAAACGAACUAUUAAGCUCCGGUAAAACUAGUAUUAUCCCUGUCAACCAACCCGUCACAAUCUCCCCUAUAAACUCUACGGACAAGGUACCUGAUCUGACGCCGUUAGAAUCUCCUAACCAGCCAAACUCGGCAGUCAGUCCCAGAUCGGCUAAUGGACUGAAACGUCCGGGUCGGCCGCCGAAAAAGGGUACUCACAUCGCUUCGAACACACUGGCUUGGCUAACAGUGGAAGAUAAUCUCGAUGCUUCCAGCGUGAAGAGACUGAAAACCGAGGAUAAUAAGUCGGAAGAGAAACCUGAACCUAAAGAUAUGCACAGACUCAUGAUGUUCGGAGCAACCUUGAACCCUGCCUCAGGAAUGGCCAAAGAAAUGACUUCAGUUUUACAGAGUGAGGUAGCUGCACACUCUGUUUACAACUCCGACCAGGUUCAGUUGACCGGAGUUCCUCUACCUGGACAUAAACGUGAAGUAUCCCGCUCUGCCCCGCACACUGUGGCCGGUAUGCUGGACCCGGCGCGCCAGCCCCAAACCAUGGAGGAGCUACUGGAGAGGCACUGGGAGCAGGGGAGCAGGUUCCUCAUGGAGCAGGCUAGUCACUUCGAUAUAGCAUCCUUACUCUCCUCCCUUCAUCAACUCAAGGAAGAGAACGUAGGUCUAGAGGAUAGUGUUGAUCGUCUUCUUUCUAGGAGAGAUCAUCUGUUAGCGGUGAGAUCCCGACUCCUUGCCCUCAACUCACUCAACCUGGCGUCCCAACCUGGAGAUAGCAGGCGGGAUACCCCGGUACAGAACGGUCCGACCAGUGUCACGGAUAAACGUCUUGUAUCUCCGAGUAGUCGGGUUCACAUCUCUCCGGGAGGAGAAAAAUCUCUUCCAAGUCCUCGUGAGAGACCGACACCUCCUGCACCUUCUCCUCAUGAUAGAGUCGCACAACCUUCACCCCGUGAACGGGAUCGAUCCCCUCGUCUUCCUCCUCAAUCUCCUCUAGAAAACGGACUUGAUUCACUUUACCGCGGUCAAUCCCAACUCCUAGCCGUUGCGCACGCAACCAACUCCCAGCAUCGACAGCACUCUCCCUCCGGGGUUCCUAAACCUGCUCAUUAUCCUCAUAAUACCAGUUUAUCCCACUCCCGACAUUCAGAUCUCAUAUCCCACUAUCCUCCGACCUCCUACCAGAUGGUUUCCCCUCCGGCUCCUCCGAAAGGAAUCAUUCCGUUACAAUCUGGUCCUUUACCUGCUCAUUCGGUUCAUCGGUCAAACCCAACCCGCCCUGUUCAUCAUCCCCCACCCCCAGGACACCAUAAUAUGCAUCCUAACUAUCAACAGAUGUUGCGUGUAUCCCCCCAAUCUCAUCAGAUUAAGAAAUGAUGAGUUUACUUCCUUUGAUCCACAAACUCGUCCUGAACUCCAAAUUCUCAUUCCAGAUUGGAUUUGUUUAAUCCUUGUUAUUUUGUACCUUAGAUUGUUAUUAUUGAAGAUCAGAUCCAGAGACUGAUAAAUAAACUUUAAACCUAA
rnacentral:misc_RNA from 1 species